GACGAACCGUGCGAACGUUGUUCGGAAUCACUGGGCUUAAAGGGCGCGUAGGCGGGUUUUCAAGUCUGUGGUGAAAGCCUCCAGCUUAACUGGAGAAGUGCCGUGGAUACUGGAGACCUCGAGGAGGGUGAGGGGCAUCUGGAACAGCCGGUGGAGCGGUGAAAUGCGUUGAUAUCGGCUGGAACUCCGAUGGCGAAGGCAAGGUGCUGGACCCUCUCUGACGCUGAGGCGCGAAAGCCAGGGGAGCGAACAGG
rnacentral:rRNA from 1 species